GGUGGCUCCUUGGUAGAGCGCUUGCCUUCCAAGUAUAAGGUCCUGGGAUCGAUUCCCAGCACCA
rnacentral:tRNA from 1 species